CUUAAAUAUUCAGGGAAUCUUCAAUCAGUCCUAAGACCGGCGGAUGUUGUUUUGCCUGAGUCAGCUUGUAAUGGAAGUGCGAAGAUGUGAAGCAUGCAUAUAUAUUAUUACAAUAGAGCCAGCAGAAAAAGGGAAAUUUGUCAAUAUCAGUUCUUGCCCUGCGAAACCAAACAUAAACGCUCGAUAGACUGCUUCAUGGUUACCUGACACAGUGCCAGCAACAGACUCGCCUUUGUUGAUGUAUCUAUGAUAUCUGUG
rnacentral:sRNA from 1 species